rnacentral:rRNA from 1 species
UACGAAGGGGGGCUAGCGUUGUUCGGAAUUACUGGGCGUAAAGCGCACGUAGGCGGCUUGUCGCGUCGUUCGUGAAAACCUGCAGCUCAACUGCAGGCUUGCGGGCGAUACGGGCAGGCUAGAGUUCGGUAGGGGAGACUGGAAUUCCUGGUGUAGCGGUGAAAUGCGCAGAUAUCAGGAGGAACACCUGCGGCGAAGGCGGGUUGCUGGGCUGACACUGACGCUGAAGUGCGAAAGCUAGGGGAGCGAACGGG